rnacentral:rRNA from 1 species
GCAAUGCGCCAGCGACCGACGCCCAUCCAGCCGACACCCAGCGCCCGCGAGAAGGGCCUCGCCACCGCUCACGCCUGUCGCGCGGCGCCGAAGCGCACCGUGACCGUCAGCCCGCGCCCAUCGGCGCCGGCCUCGAGCGACACGUCCGCAUGAUGCUGUUCGGCGAUGCGCUUGACGAUCGACAACCCGAGCCCGCUGCCCGACGCCGACACGAGCUGCGCGCCGCCGCCGCGAUAGAACCGCUCCCACACGCGCUCGCGGUCGGCGGCCGGAAUGCCCGGGCCGUUGUCGCGCACUUCGAGCACCGGCGUGCCGCCGGCGUCGAUGCGCGCGUCGACGUCGACGCGCGCGCCGGCUCCCGCAUAGCGGAUCGCGUUGUCGACGAGAUUGUUCAGCAGCACGCGCAGCGUGUCCGCGUUGCCGGCCACCCGGACGGGCGCCGUGCCGAGCGCGCCGAGAUCGACGUGCUGCGCGGCCGCGAUGCGCGCGCGCUCGGCGACCACCGAGCGGCCGAGCGCCGCGAGGUCGAGCUCGGCGAACGGCGCCGAUCGCGCUUCGGGCUCGAGGCGCGCGAGCGUCAGCAAUUGCUCGGCGAGAUGCGACAGGCGCGUCGUGCCGGCCUGAAUCUGCGCGAGGAUGCGCGCACGCUCGUCGGCGCUCGCCGUACGUUGCAGCAGUUGCGUCUGGAUCGACAGGCCCAUGAUCGGCGUGCGCAGCUCGUGCGCCGCGUCCGCGAUGAAAUGGCGCUGCAGCGUGAACGAGCGAUCGAGCCGCGCGAGCAGAUCGUUGAUCUCGGAGGCGAGCGGUUGCGCCUCGGUCGGCACGGUCGUGAUGUCGAGCGGAUCGAGGCGAUUCGCAUGGCGGCGCUUCAGGCCUGCGGCGAUCGCGCCGAGCGGGCGCAGCCCGUAGCCGAUGCCGAGCCACAGCCCGAUCGCGAGCAGCGGCAGCAGCGACAGCACCGGCCACAGCAGGUGCACGGCGAUGCCCGCGAUCGCCUCCCAGCGCGCCUGGCGCGGCUGCGCGACGCGGAUCGUCGUGCCCGCGCUCUCGCGCACGUACGUGUGCCAGCGCUGGCCGCCGGCGUCGAGCGUCACGAAGCCGGCCGCGGCGGGCGGCGGCAGUUGCGUGGCCGGGUCGGUCGUGAACUCGAGCUUGCCGCCGCGCCACACCUGCAGCAGCACGUCGUCGGAAUCGUAGUCGGCCGGAUGGCGCUUGGCGAGCCUGUCACGUCCCUCGAUCGACAGCUUGCCGGCGUCGUCGACCUGAAUCUGCUUCGACAUGCUGCGCAUCUGGUCGUCGAGCAGAUCGUCGAGCUCGCGCAGCGCGCCCCAAUAGGUGCCCGUGCUCGCGAGCACGCCGACGACGCACGCGGCG